GUCGUUGUAGGUGUGACUACAUGCACCCAACCUACGGUACCAACAAACGGCAGUAUCACUCCUGAUACUCCUACAUAUGACCUAUAUACCCGAAUCACAUACGCCUGCGACGACGGGUAUACGUUGGGAGGCCCAUGCGAAGCGGUCUGCGAAUCGGGUGGGGUCUGGAAUCCGUCCACUGUACCCACUUGCGAAUCCAACUGUGCCAAACCCACUCUGACCAAUGGAGGCGUCAGUCCAGAUCAAGAUUCUUUUAGUAACGGCGAGGUUCUCGUUUAUGAAUGUAACACGAACUAUACCUUGGUCGGGGUAUCCACAGCAACAUGCCGCAGUGGAGUCUAUGAUCCCUCGAGCAAACCAACCUGCUACGAAAAUUGCGAUGUGAGUGCUGUACCUGAUUCAGAUUAUUCAUUUGGUGGUACAGUCACGCAUGGUACGACUUUCAACGUAACGUGUGA